rnacentral:lncRNA from 1 species
GUGAACCCAUCAGGCCCCGGUGCUUUUGUGGGAUUCAGAGUCUUCACCACCCUGGUUAUCUCUUCUUGGGUCACAGGUUUUGUCAAAUUAGCAUUGCAUUGGCUAGUGACUCGGCGGCCCACACACCCUACUUUCUCAGCAAUAUUUGUCGAAUUGCUCGUUGUGAACAGUUGAGCAAAAUAGAAUGUCGCAAUGUCUCUGAUCUCCCCCUCCCCCUCACACCACCUCCCAGUACUGUCCUCUAAGCCAAGCAUCCGAUUAGCUCUCUGCCGUACCAGUACCUUAGAAUGAAAGAAUUUUGUGUUUUUUCCCCCUCCUGUAGCCACUGGACUCGAGAUUUGAGCUUCCAGUAAGCUUCUUCUUCGUGUAAAGCAAUUUUCUGUUCA